rnacentral:rRNA from 1 species
ACGUGAAAUUGUCGAAAGGGAAGCGCUUGAAGUCAGCCAUGCUGCUUGAGACUCAGCCUUGCUUUUGCUUGGUGUAUUUCUCGGUAGCAAGCCAGCAUUGGUUCGAGUCGUCGGAGAAGGGUAUGAGAAAUGUGGCAUCCUCGGAUGUGUUAUAGACUUGUACUGGAUACGACGAUUUGGAUCAAGGAACGCAGUGUGCCU